CCUACGGGACGCACCAGUGGGGAAUAUUGCACAAUGGGCGCAAGCCUGAUGCAGCCAUGCCGCGUGUGUGAAGAAGGCCUUCGGGUUGUAAAGCACUUUCAGCGGGGAGGAAGGCGAUAAGGUUAAUAACCUUGUCGAUUGACGUUACCCGCAGAAGAAGCACCGGCUAACUCCGUGCCAGCAGCCGCGGUAAUACGGAGGGUGCAAGCGUUAAUCGGAAUUACUGGGCGUAAAGCGCACGCAGGCGGUCUGUCAAGUCGGAUGUGAAAUCCCCGGGUUCAACCUGGGAACUGCAUUCGAAACUGGCAGACUAGAGUCUUGUAGAGGGGGGUAGAAUUCCUGGUGUAGCGGUGAAAUGCGUAGAGAUCUGGAGGAAUACCGGUGGCGAAGGCGGCCCCCUGGGCAAAGACUGACGCUCAGGUGCGAAAGCGUGGGGAGCGAACAGGAUUAGAUACCCGAGUAGUC
rnacentral:rRNA from 1 species